UUGUUCGGAUUCCCUGGGCGUAAAGGGUGCGUAUGGGGUGUGGUAAGUCGGAUGUGAAAGCUCGGAGCUCAACUCCGAAAUGGCAUUGGAAACUACCUUGCUCGAGGGUUGGAGGGGGGACUGGAAUUCUCGGUGUAGCAGUGAAAUGCGUAGAUAUCGAGAGGAACACCAGUGGCGAAGGCGAGUCCCUGGACAACUCCUGACACUGAGGCACGAAAGCUAGGGGAGCAAACAGG
rnacentral:rRNA from 1 species